CCAAUAGCGUAUAUUAAAGUUGUUGCAGUUAAAAAGCUCGUAGUUGAAUUUCGGGAUCAAUAUAUCGGUCGUGCCAUUGGUACGUACUGGUAUCAUUGGUUUCUCCUUUUUGACGAACCAUGAUGUCAUUAAUUUGGUGUUAUGGGAAGUUAGGACUGUUACUUUGAAAAAAUUAGAGUGUUUAAAGCAGGCUUUAGCUUGAAUACAUUAGCAUGGAAUAAUGAAAUAGGACGUUCGAACCUAUUUUGUUGGUUUCUAGGAUCAACGUAAUGAUUAAUAGGGAUAGUUGGGGGCAUUAGUAUUCAAUUGUCAGAGGUGAAAUUCUUGGAUUUAUUGAAGACUAACUACUGCGAAAGCAUUUGCCAAGGAUGUUUUCAUUAAUCAAGAACGAAAGUUAGGGGAUCGAAGACGAUCAGAUACCGUCGUAGUCUUAACCAUAAACUAUGCCGACUAGGGAUCGGAUGAUGUUAAUUUUUUAAUGACUCAUUCGGCGCCUUACG
rnacentral:misc_RNA from 1 species